rnacentral:rRNA from 1 species
AUGACAUUUAGAGGAAGAAGUCAGUUCAAGAGGGCACUCGUGAAGUAUGGCCUGGCUAUGAAGAGGCAUAUUUGCUUUGUAAAAGAUGAGGCUGGUAGGAUUAGGGCAAAAUGUUCUUGGCCUAAGUGUCCUUGGUUGAUUUAU